GUUUAUUAUCAAAUGUAGCCCUAAAAAGAAAUACCUUUUUGGAAGCACAUGUGCAGGUAAGGAUUUAAAUUACCCAAGCCUCAGGGUUAUUAAUGGAUACAGACUGUAUAUGGAUAUGUUGGACUAGAAGAAAGGAGCCAGUGAGCCAAAGCUAUAAAUGCGAUUCUUUUGCUACGAUGCUCAUGAUGAUGGCUUAGUAAAAACAUUACUAAUGGACGCGUUUUAUUGGGAAUCGCAUUCACCGUGUGUAAGCUCAGCGGCUUCUUUAAGAGUUGGGGCAUUUUAGGGUUAGCAUGAAAGUAAA
rnacentral:misc_RNA from 1 species